UCGACGGAAGGCCCUGCUUGCAGGGUACUCGAGUGGCGAACGGGUGAGUAACACGUGGGUGAUCUGCCCUGCACUUCGGGAUAAGCCUGGGAAACUGGGUCUAAUACCGGAUAGGACCAUCGUUUAGUGUCGGUGGUGGAAAGUUUUUCGGUGCAGGAUGAGCCCGCGGCCUAUCAGCUUGUUGGUGGGGUAAUGGCCUACCAAGGCGUCGACGGGUAGCCGGCCUGAGAGGGUGGACGGCCACAUUGGGACUGAGACACGGCCCAGACUCCUACGGGAGGCAGCAGUGGGGAAUAUUGCACAAUGGGCGCAAGCCUGAUGCAGCGACGCCGCGUGGGGGAUGAAGGCCUUCGGGUUGUAAACUCCUUUCAGCAGGGACGAAGCUUUUGUGACGGUACCUGCAGAAGAAGCACCGGCUAACUACGUGCCAGCAGCCGCGGUAAUACGUAGGGUGCGAGCGUUGUCCGGAAUUACUGGGCGUAAAGAGCUCGUAGGUGGUUUGUCGCGUCGUCUGUGAAAUUCCGGGGCUUAACUCCGGGCGUGCAGGCGAUACGGGCAUAACUUGAGUGCUGUAGGGGAGACUGGAAUUCCUGGUGUAGCGGUGAAAUGCGCAGAUAUCAGGAGGAACACCGAUGGCGAAGGCAGGUCUCUGGGCAGUUACUGACGCUGAGGAGCGAAAGCAUGGGUAGCGAACAGGAUUAGAUACCCUGGUAGUCCAUGCCGUAAACGGUGGGCGCUAGGUGUGGGGGUCUUCCACGACUUCUGUGCCGUAGCUAACGCAUUAAGCGCCCCGCCUGGGGAGUACGGCCGCAAG
rnacentral:rRNA from 1 species